AAUAAGUGCAGUUUUGCACUAUUCAUGUUCAACGUUUGACCGUCCGUCUUAUUUGAAAAUUUUUUAUGAUUAGUAUUUUUAUUGCUAUUAGAUGAUAAAACAUGAAUAGUACUUUAUGUGUGACUAAAUGUUUUUAAUUUUUUCACAAAUUUUUCAAAUAAGACGGACGGUCAAACGUUGAACGUAAAUAGUGCAAAACUGCACUUAUU
rfam:Oryza sativa (indica cultivar-group) chromosome 5, whole genome shotgun sequence.